rnacentral:rRNA from 1 species
AGUGAACGCUGGCGGUAGGCCUAACACAUGCAAGUCGAACGGCAGCACAGUAAGAGCUUGCUCUUACGGGUGGCGAGUGGCGGACGGGUGAGGAAUACAUCGGAGUCUACUUUUUCGUGGGGGAGAACGUAGGGAAACUUACGCUAAUACCGCAUACGACCUACGGGUGAAAGCAGGGGAUCUUCGGACCUUGCGCGAGUGAAUGAGCCGAUGUCGGAUUAGCUAGUUGGCGGGGUAAAGGCCCACCAAGGCGACGAUCCGUAGGUUGUCUGAGAGGAUGAUCAGGCACACUUGGAACUAGGCACGGGCCAGACCCCCUCGGGGGGGCAGAGGGGGGAAUUUUUGGCAAAGGGGGGAAGCCCUAUCCAGCCCAGCCGGGGGGGGGAAGAAGGGCCUCGGGGUUUAAAACCCUUUUUGUUGGGAAAAAAAACAGGAAGUUUAUACCCCCCUUUUUCGGCGUUACCCAAAAAAAAAAGCCCGGCUAACUUUGUG